UACGUAGGGGGCUAGCGUUGUCCGGAAUCAUUGGGCGUAAAGCGCGUGUAGGCGGCCCGGUAAGUCCGCUGUGAAAGUCGGGGGCUCAACCCUCGGAAGCCGGUGGAUACUGUCGGGCUCGAGUACGGAAGAGGCGAGUGGAAUUCCUGGUGUAGCGGUGAAAUGCGCAGAUAUCAGGAGGAACACCGGUGGCGAAGGCGGUCUGCUGGGCAGUUGCUGACACUGAGGCGCGACAGCGUGGGGAGCAAACAGGG
rnacentral:rRNA from 1 species